GAAAAAGAAAGAGCAACAACGUUAUGCUGAAGAGCAGAGGAUCCUAAAAACGAACUUUAAUGAAGAACCAUAUUCAGGGGAGAAGAUGAGUGACAUGUUAGCCCAGUUACAACUUGAAGAAAUAAAAACAGCCAGAGAAAAACAGCAACAGAGAGAAAAGGAAUACCUAAGAUAUGUAGAAGCUUUACGAGCUCAGAUCCAGGAGAAGAUGCAGCUAUAUAAUAUUACUUUACCUCCACUAUGCUGUUGUGGUCCUGAUUUUUGGGAUGCUCAUCCCAAUACCUGUGCCAACAAUUGUAUUUUCUAUAAAAACCACAGAGCAUAUACUCGGGCACUUCAUUCAGUCAUCAAUUCUUGUGAUAUCUCUGAGGGGAGUUCAACUCUUCGAAACGCCAUUCAUAAUUUUGCUUCUGCACACAGACGGACCUUGAAAAAUCUGUAAUUGAAAUCUGAACUGGCGGUAUUUUGGUCUUCAUUUAAAAAUCAACCUUGAGAUAUUAUUUAGGAAAAGCUGUUAAAGUAUAUAAGAUACAUAAUCUGGAAAGAAACACUGCCCCACAUAACUGUCUCUAUAAUUAGAUCGCAACCAUUGCUUCAAUCUCUGCCUUGGGACCAAGAUUGAAAGUUGACUUCCAAACUUGCCUCUUCUUUGUUAUGAACCAUAUAGAGUUUAUUAUUUUAAAAAAUGACCAGUCAGACAAGUAAGGUGUCUCUUACUUUGCUCUGUUCAAAAGAGAUCAUGAGAAAUCUUUGAGGUUAUGAUCAUUUAUCAUCUUUCUAAAACUGUAUCUUUGAGUCUUGACAAUAUCGAAAUGUCUUCAUAAAAUAGAGAAGAGAGGAAAUGAGCGUCUGAGCAUCACUGGCCAUUUAUGUUGCCAUUAACUUUUCUAGUUGUGUGUAACAAUUAGACAUGAGAUGAAUCUGAAUCUAAUGCACAUUUUCUUUUCAAAAUUUUCUGCUGUUUUUUUGUUUGUUUUGUUUUUAAGUGUAUUGCCUCUUUUCUCAUUCAGUGACAGAUUUUUAAUUGUAUAAAUUUUUAUUGUGAAAAAAGGGGGAAUAAACCCUCUAUCUUUUGAAUAUCUUCUAUAUGAAAUAAUUGUGAGUGGCAUUUCAAAAAGUGAAUCUGGAGUCAAAGUGAGUAAAGUCCUGCCUUAUUUCCCUGUCUUUAAAAACUUUGGUGAAUGGCAUGCCUACAGAGCAAGUGAAAUAAAAGUUGCCAUAGGUGGUAUGGAUUUGAUAUGUCUUCACAGUAUUUCCUGGUACAAAAUAUGAAAAGGUUUAAUGUUAUGAAUUAAAGACAGAUACUGACAGUU